AUCCAACAUGGGAAAGGAAAAGACUCAUAU
rnacentral:piRNA from 1 species